CAACAGAUCCAGAACAUCAUCAUUGGAGUGUCUUAGCAGUAAUAAAAUCCUUAUUCAUUACAUUUCCAUUUCUACAUUCAGUAAUAGUAUAUUUUGUCCCGUGUUGACCUACUACUGUCUACUUCUAGUGUCAUAUGAAGGUAUUUUGUCCAUCCAAAGUUUGAAGGAGGUUGAGAACCCAUGGAAAGGCAUUACUCUAAACCGUUGCAUAGUGUUGGCCAUCAUCAUUGUGCUUGUGAGCUCAGGGGUGAAUGAAGUACAUGAUGCUCUGGAAAUAUUUCUAGAGAAUGAUCUUACUCAGAUGUUACUUGGAGGCACAGAUCCACAGCCAGAUGGCACAGCUCAGCCUGCAGCCUCUCUGUGGGACAGCUUGCUGAGUUGGGGAUCAGACCAUGGAACAAAAGGAAAACCAGAGAGAAGAGGGGGAGUCUUGAGGAUCAGAAAGAGAGAUGUGUCUGACAAAGGGCUGUGAAGGAAUGAUAGAAAGAGAGCAUUAUGGAGAAUGGUAGAGGCAUACAACAAAUAGGCUGACAUUUUCAGAAAGAAUAAUCAAAUAAUGUCAGUUUGCCAGGGUGUUUAUUCUAUCAAAGUAUAUACAGUGGGGAGAACAAGUAUUUGAUACACUGCCGA